rnacentral:rRNA from 1 species
AUUGAACGCUGGCGGCAGGCUUAACACAUGCAAGUCGAGCGGGGUGAUGGUGCUUGCACUAUCACUUAGCGGCGGACGGGUGAGUAAUGCUUAGGAAUCUGCCUAUUAGUGGGGGACAACAUCUCGAAAGGGAUGCUAAUACCGCAUACGUCCUACGGGAGAAAGCAGGGGAUCACUUGUGACCUUGCGCUAAUAGAUGAGCCUAAGUCGGAUUAGCUAGUUGGUGGGGUAAAGGCCUACCAAGGCGACGAUCUGUAGCGGGUCUGAGAGGAUGAUCCGCCACACUGGGACGGAGACACGGCCCAGACUCCUACGGGAGGCAGCAGUGGGGAAUAUUGGACAAUGGGGGGAACCCUGAUCCAGCCUUGCCGCGUGUGUGAAGAAGGCCUUAUGGUUGUAAAGCACUUUAAGCGAGGAGGAGGCUCUUUUGGUUAAUACCCAAGAUGAGUGGACGUUACUCGCAGAAUAAGCACCGGCUAACUCUGUGCCAGCCGCCGCAGUAA